rnacentral:rRNA from 1 species
GAGCACGUAGGUGGGUUUGUAAGUCAGAUGUGAAAGCCUUCUGUUCAACGGAAGAAUUGCAUCUGAAACUGCCAAUCUUGAGUGUAGGAGGGGAGAAUGGAACUUCUGGUGGAGCGGUGAAAUGCGUAGAUAUCAGAAGGAACGCCGGCGGCGAAAGCGAUUCUCUGGCCUAUUACUGACACUCAGUGUGCGAAAGCUAGGGGAGCAAACGGGAUUAGAUACCCCGGUAGUCCUAGCCGUAAACGAUGGGCACUAAGUAGAGGGG